rnacentral:rRNA from 1 species
GAUGAACGCUGGCGGCGUGCCUAAUACAUGCAAGUCGAGCGAACAGACGAGGAGCUUGCUCCUCUGACGUUAGCGGCGGACGGGUGAGUAACACGUGGAUAACCUACCUAUAAGACUGGGAUAACUUCGGGAAACCGGAGCUAAUACCGGAUAAUAUAUUGAACCGCAUGGUUCAAUAGUGAAAGACGGUUUUGCUGCCACUUAUAGAUGGAUCCGCGCCGCAUUAGCCAGUUGGUAAGGUAACGGCUUACCAAGGCAACGAUGCGUAGCCGACCUGAGAGGGUGAUCGGCCACACUGGAACUGAGACACGGUCCAGACUCCUACGGGAGGCAGCAGUAGGGAAUCUUCCGCAAUGGGCGAAAGCCUGACGGAGCAACGCCGCGUGAGUGAUGAAGGUCUUCGGAUCGUAAAACUCUGUUAUUAGGGAAGAACAAAUGUGUAAGUAACUAUGCACGUCUUGACGGUACCUAAUCAGAAAGCCACGGCUAACUACGUG